rnacentral:rRNA from 1 species
CGGUAAGUUUCCUUCGGGAAACACGAGUGGCAGACGGGUGAGUAAUGUAUAGGAAUUUACCUUCAAGUGGGGAACAGCUUCGCGAAAGUGGGGAUAAUACCGCAUGUGACCGCAAGGUCAAAGUCGUAAGACGCUUGAAGAGAAGCCUAUAUCCUAUCAGGUUGUUGGUGAGGUAAUAGCUCACCAAGCCUAUGACGGGUAGCCGGUAUGAGAGUACGACCGGCCACAAGGUUACUGAGACACGGAACCUACACCUACGGGUGGCAGCAACUAGGAAUCUUGCGCAAUGGACGAAAGUCUGACGCAGCGACACCGCGUGUAAGAAGACGCUUUUCGGAGUGUAAAUUACUGUGGCAGGGGAUGAAUUUUGACAGUACCCUGCUAGAAAGCACCUGCUAACUACGUGCCAGAAGCCUCGGUAAUACGUAGGGUGCAAGCGUUAUCCGGAUUUACUGGGCGUAAAGCGUACCGUCGGCGUCUUGUUUAGUCUUUAGUUUAAACCCAGGGCUCAACUCUGGAAGGGCUAAAGAUACUGGCAGGAUAGAGUCUAUUAGGGGGAGCUGGAAUUCUCGGUGGAGGGGUGAAAUCCGUAGAUAUCGAGAGGAACACCAUUCGCGAAGGCGGGCUCCUGGAAUAUGACUGACGCUCAGGGACGAAAGCUUGGGUAGCAAAAGGGAUUAGAGACCCCUGUAGUCCAAGCCGUAAACAUUCUUUGCUAGUUGCUUGUUCCACUCAGUGCAUUUGUGUCGAUAUUUCGCUCUGUGAAAUACUCGAAAGUGCCUUGAGUGGAAUGAGUGACGUAAGCUAACGCGUUAAGCAAAGCGCCUGGGGAGUACGGCCGCAAGGUUAAAACUCAAAGGAAUUGACGGGGGAGCGCACAACCGGUGGAGCAUGUGGUUUAAUUCGAUACGAAGCGAAAGACCUUACCUGGGUUUGACAUGUAGCUGCACGGUCUAGGAAACUAGAUCUUCUUCGAGAGUGCUACACAGGUGUUGCAUGGCUGUCGUCAGCUCGUGUCGUGAGACGUCCACUUAAGUGUGGUAACGAGCGCAACCCUUAUCCUGUGUUAUAUAUGUCACAGGAGACUGCCCCUGCUUUGCAGGGGAGGAAGGAGAGGAUGACGUCAAGUCAGCACGACCCUUACAUCCAGGGCAACACACAUCCUACAAUGGAGCCGGCAACGGGAAGCAAAGCUGUGAAGCAAAGCCAAUCCUUCAAACGGCCCCUCAGUUCAGAUUGCAGGCUGCAACUCGCCUGCAUGAAGUCGGAAUCGGUAGUAAUCGCAAAUCAGCAGGUUGCGGUGAAUACGUUCUCGCUCCUUGUACACACUGCCCGUCAAACCAGCAAAGUUAGCAACGCCCGAAGCGGGUGACCUGAACUCGUAAGAGGCA